GACGAACGCUGACGGCGUGCUUAACACAUGCAAGUCGAGCGAUGAAACUACUUCGGUAGUGAAUUAGCGGCGAACGGGUGAGGAACACGUGAGGAAUCUGCCUUCUACACUGGGAUAACUCCGGGAAACCGGGGCUAAUACCGGAUAUGAAACUUGGUGGCAUCACCGAGUUUGGAAAGUUUUUCGGUAGAAGAUGACCUCGCGGCCUAUCAGCUUGUUGGUGAGGUAAUGGCUCACCAAGGCGACGACGGGUAGCCGGCCUGAGAGGGCGACCGGCCACACUGGGACUGAGACACGGCCCAGACUCCUACGGGAGGCAGCAGUGGGGAAUAUUGGGCAAUGGAGGAAACUCUGACCCAGCGACGCCGCGUGCGGGAUGAAGGCCUUCGGGUUGUAAACCGCUUUCAGUAGGGAAGAAGCGAAAGUGACGGUACCUACAGAA
rnacentral:rRNA from 1 species